GCCAAUUGCUUUUCCUUUUAAGGCUACACCCCAGCAACACAAAGUUGUGCAUUUUCCUCAAUUCUAUCCUAUCAACUCCUCUCAGUUCAUUACAGGUUGCAAAAAUGAUUCUGUGGCUAAACAUGGUGUUCCUAUUAGCAUUCCUCAGAGGUGUCCAAUCUGAGGUCCAGUUGGUGGAGUCUGGAGGGGAUGUGAGAAGACCUGGAGGGUCCCUCCGUCUCUCCUGCCAAGCCUCUGGAUUCACCUUCAGCAGCUAUUACAUGAGCUGGGUGAGACAGGCUCCAGGGAAAGGACUGGAAUGGGUUUCACAGAUAUAUCCAAGUUCAUCUAGCAUUUACUACUCAGACAAAAUUAAAGGACGUUUCACCACUUCAAGGGAUGAUGCCAAAAGCCAGCUGUACUUGCAAAUGAACAAUCUAAAAGCUGAAGACACGGCAGUCUAUUACUGCUGGGACACAGUGAGAGGAAGUGAAUCCAAUGCUAAACAAAAACUUUCCUUUCUUCAGAGCAGCUCUGCAACCUGA